AAAAACUCCUACACACAAUCACACGAAAACCGAGAUGGGCGGCACACAAAGUGCCAUUAUUGAACGAGGUGGAGAAAUGACCCUACUAGAAAAAGAGGGGGGGCUGGAGCCAGCCGCCCCGCAAAACCAGCUCUUCGGUGGUCGGGAUAAUUAUUGAAAUUAAGGGGUCCGUACCCGGUUUUGAAGUUCCUGGUCUUGCGGGUAGCUUAACUAUCUAUAUGCUAGGAAUACUGCUAUACUAUAAGGGCGGGAGAGGUCUGAGGUACUACAGGUCCAGGGGUGAAAUCUUAUAAUCCUUGUCGGACCCCCAACGCCUAAGGCGUCAGACUGGAACCCGCCCGACGCCGAGGGAGAAAAGCCAAGGAAGCGAACCGAAUCAGAUACCCGGGCCGCCUGGGUUCUAAACGAUGCAAACUAGGGUAUGGCGCGCCCUUGACCCCGGUCCGUGCCGGGGGCAAACCGUUAACGUGACCCCUUCGGAAGUGCGGCCCAGGGCUAAGACUUAAAGUAAUUGGGGGGGGAAAGGGAAAAUUCUAUUAAACUUGCAGGACUAGGCCCUUUACUGUGGGUGAGUUCUGAUCUUGGGCUAGUCGUGGUCAUGGCUGUUUCUGAAGCC
rnacentral:rRNA from 1 species